UACUUCGUCCCCCUACCCAAUAGAAACGCGCGUUACCAAGGCGUGGAGAAUGUUCUCCGUUACAUCAGCGUUUUUUUCCACGCGCUCGAUCUUCGCCUCUACGGCGCUUAUACACACUCUCUCGGGCAAAUCCCAACAUCAACACAAAUUCCACCUGUUUCUCUCUCUCUCUCUCUGAGCUCAUUUUUUCUAUUUUUUUCACCAAACCCUAACCCUAACUCAGAAAACAACACCAAAACCCUGGCCCUAAUCUUCAAAAUAACGAUUCGGCACUGAAAUUUUCCUUGUAUGGAUUCUCAAUUCGAGACGGCCUCGCAGCCCGAUCCCGCCACUGACGCUUACACCUUCCUCGAAUUCAACACCCAAGGCGAGUCCGAUUUCGAGUACACCGACUUCCGCCACCCGAUUCGUUCUUGGCCGACAGCCUCCGAUGCUAACGCCGCUGAUCGCUCCAGCUCCGACCACCACUUGGACUCUGCUGCCUCCCCUUCUUCCUCUAGUGCUCCGAAAGUCGCUGGGCGUGGGGCAACGAGCAAUAACAACAGCAAUAGCAAUAAUAUUAGCAAUAGUGUAGCCGUGGUUGAUGCGUUAGCGACGGGGAUUAGUGGAUUGAAUUUUGAGGAGACAGUUGGCGAUGAGGAUGGCGGUUAUGAGUACGGAAAAGGGAAUUUCGCUGAGCACGCUUGUCGGUAUUGUGGGGUUUCGAACCCGGCUUGCGUGGUUCGCUGUAACGUUCCUUCCUGUAGAAAGUGGUUUUGUAAUUCAAGAGGGAAUACAUCGGGCUCGCAUAUUGUUAAUCAUCUCGUACGAGCUAAACACAAGGAAGUCUGCCUUCAUAAGGAUAGUCCUUUGGGAGAAACAAUUCUUGAAUGCUACAACUGUGGAUGCAGAAAUGUUUUCCUUCUUGGUUUUAUAUCUGCUAAGACUGAGAGCGUUGUCGUUCUUCUUUGUAGAGAACCUUGUUUGAAUGUUAAUGCUUUGAAGGACAUGAAUUGGGACUUGAGUCAGUGGUGUCCCCUUAUUGAUGAUAGGUGCUUUUUACAGUGGCUGGUUAAGAUCCCAUCUGAACAAGAGCAGUUAAGGGCACGGCAAAUAAGUGCCCAACAAAUAAACAAGGUAGAAGAGCUUUGGAAGACAAAUCCUGAUGCCUCCCUUGAAGAUCUUGAGAAGCCUGGUGUAGAUGAUGAACCUCAGCCUGUGGCCUUGAAGUAUGAAGAUGCUUAUCAGUAUCAAAAUGUUUUUGCUCCACUUAUCAAGCUUGAAGCUGACUAUGAUAAAAUGAUGAAAGAAUCUCAAAGCAAGGACAAUGUCACAAUGCGAUGGGAUAUUGGGUUAAACAAGAAACGUAUUGCAUAUUUUGUCUUUCCAAAGGAAGACAAUGAGCUGCGUCUAGUGCCUGGUGAUGAGUUGCGUUUACGUUAUUCAGGAGAUGCUGCUCAUCCAGCUUGGCAGGCUGUUGGGCAUGUGAUCAAGCUAACGGCACAAGAGGAGGUUGCGCUUGAGCUCCGUGUUAGUCAGGGAGCUCCUGUUGACGUGAACCAUGGGUUCAGUGUUGAUUUUGUCUGGAAGAGUACAAGUUUUGACCGGAUGCAGGGGGCAAUGAAAACAUUUGCAGUCGAUGAAACAAGUGUUAGUGGAUAUAUUUACCAUCACCUGCUUGGCCAUGAGGUUGAGGUUCAGAUGGUUCGCAAUGCACUGCCUCGUCGUUUUGGUGCACCUGGUCUGCCAGAAUUGAAUGCAUCUCAAGUUUUUGCCGUAAAGAGUGUUCUUCAGAAGCCUAUAAGCUUGAUUCAAGGGCCCCCUGGCACAGGAAAAACUGUUACUUCUGCUGCCAUUGUAUAUCACAUGGCUAAACAGGGUCAGGGGCAGGUUCUGGUCUGUGCUCCAAGUAAUGUGGCUGUUGAUCAGCUAGCUGAAAAGAUAAGUGCCACUGGGUUAAAGGUUGUAAGGCUUUGUGCGAAAUCAAGGGAAGCUGUGAGUUCUCCUGUUGAACAUUUGACCCUGCAUUAUCAGGUCCGACAUCUUGACACAUCUGAGAAGAGUGAACUUCACAAGUUACAACUAUUGAAAGAUGAACAAGGUGAGUUGUCAAGCAGUGAUGAGAAAAAGUACAAAGCACUGAAGCGAGCAACAGAGAGGGAAAUAUCCCAAAGUGCUGAUGUCAUUUGUUGCACUUGUGUCGGGGCUGGAGAUCCUAGAUUGGCUAAUUUUAGGUUCCGCCAGGUACUUAUUGAUGAGUCUACUCAGGCGACAGAACCUGAGUGUCUCAUUCCUUUAGUUCUUGGAGCAAAGCAGGUUGUUCUUGUUGGUGAUCAUUGCCAACUUGGUCCUGUUAUUAUGUGCAAGAAAGCAGCUCGUGCUGGGCUAGCACAGUCUCUGUUUGAACGUCUUGUUUUACUUGGUGUUAAACCAAUUAGAUUGCAGGUUCAAUAUCGUAUGCACCCAUGUUUGUCGGAGUUUCCUUCUAACAGCUUCUAUGAAGGCACAUUACAAAAUGGAGUGACAAUCAAUGAAAGGCAAUUAUUGGGCAUUGAUUUCCCUUGGCCUGUGCCUAAUCGUCCCAUGUUGUUUUAUGUACAGAUGGGACAAGAGGAGAUUAGUGCUAGUGGAACAUCAUAUCUUAAUAGAACUGAAGCUGCAAAUGUUGAAAAGAUUGUUACCACAUUCUUGAGGAGUGGUGUUGUUCCUAGUCAGAUUGGGGUCAUAACACCUUAUGAGGGACAAAGGGCAUAUAUUGUGAAUUAUAUGUCAAGAAAUGGUGCUUUGAGACAGCAGCUUUACAAGGAAAUUGAGGUUGCAAGCGUUGAUUCGUUCCAAGGACGGGAAAAAGAUUACAUCAUCUUGUCUUGUGUGAGAAGUAAUGAACAUCAGGGUAUUGGAUUUUUAAAUGAUCCUCGCAGGCUUAAUGUUGCCCUAACACGAGCUCGAUAUGGUAUUGUAAUUCUUGGAAACCCAAAAGUUCUUAGCAAACAACCUCUGUGGAAUGGUUUAUUGACACAUUACAAGGAACACGAGUGCCUGGUUGAAGGACCCCUCAAUAACUUGAAGCAAAGUAUGGUUCAAUUCCAAAAGCCAAAAAAGGUGCUUAUAUGCCUCCAGGUCCACCCAAUGGCACUCACAAGUCUGGAAUGCACCCUACUGGGUACCCAAUGCCUCGGCUUUCACUUCCACCAUUUCCUGGUCCUCCUUCUCAGCCUUAUGCUAUUCCGACUCGUGGAGUUGUACAUGGACCAGUGGGAGCCGUUCCUCAGGUCCCUCAACCAGGAAGUCGAGGCUUUGGGGCUGGGCGUGGUAAUACUGGUGCUCCUAUUGGCAGUCAUCUCCCGCACCAGCAAGGCACGCAGCAAAAUGUUGGAACUAUUGGAUCUACUUUUAACUUCCCUCCCCUGGAGAAUCCAAACAGCCAGCCAUCUGUGGGUGGUCCAUUAUCUCAACCUGGACUUGUUAACAAUAUGCCUGUCCAAGGGCCAGGCCAAACAUUUCGUGAUGGAUUUUCAAUGGGGGGAAUGUCCCAGGACUUCUUGGGUGAUGACUUCAAAAGCCAAGGCUCACAUGUCCCUUAUAACAUUGCAGAUUUUUCAACGCAGGCUUCUCAGAGUGGGUAUGCUGUUGAUUAUGUUACUCAAGGAGCACAGAGUGGGUUUCCAGGGAACUUCCUAAAUCAGAAUUCUCAAGCUGGAUUUUCUCGUUUUGGUUCUGGAAAUGAUUUCAUGUCUCAGGACUACAUGAAUCAUGGAUCACAAGGCCUGUUUACACAGGUUGGCUUUAAUGACCCUUCACAUGAUGAUGCAUCACAGAGCCACUUUGGUGUGGCUAAUCCCAAUCAGAUUCAGUC